AAAUGUGAGGACAAUAUGGCUGUGACAUCUGUCACCCCAUUGAUCACCAGGGUUGAUUGGGCUGAUCUGGCUGGGUAGGCUGUGUCCCUCACCUCUCCAUGUGUAUCCCUCCCAAAGCUGUGCACUUGAUCGAAGAGGAUGAACUUCCCCAAUAGAGGAGGGCGGGUCCCCUGCUAGAACCUCCAAACAAGUUCUCAAGAAUACAAAUGAUAGGGCUGGGGAUAUAGCUCAGUUGGUAGAGUGCUUCCCUUGCAUU
rfam:Ictidomys tridecemlineatus contig040039, whole genome shotgun sequence.